rnacentral:rRNA from 1 species
GACGAACGCUGGCGGCGUGCCUAACACAUGCAAGUCGAGCGGGGAGAGAUUUUCGGAUUUCUCUUUAGCGGCGGACGGGUGAGUAACACGUGGGUAACCUGCCUCAAAGUGGGGGAUAGCCUUCCGAAAGGAAGAUUAAUACCGCAUAAUAUCAUGCGCUGCAUGGCGCAGUGAUUAAAGGAGCAAUCCGCUUUGAGAUGGACCCGCGGCGCAUUAGCUAGUUGGUGAGGUAACGGCCCACCAAGGCGACGAUGCGUAGCCGACCUGAGAGGGUGAUCGGCCACAUUGGAACUGAGACACGGUCCAGACUCCUACGGGUGGCAG